GACACCAGACUUCAAAUUGUGGCUCUGUUUAUCAGGAUUUGCAUUCUAAUUUCUUUGGAUACAAAGCCAAGUAUUUCUCUGCAUGUCGCCUUCCUGUGGACUUAUUAAUUGAUCGAAGAUUUAGCUGGAAUGUUCUGACCUAGGAAGUAUGUCUCCUUCUGCAGUGCUUGCAUGAUUUUGAUUUAGCAGCUUUGCCAGUAGUCAAAGGAUCGGAACAUCAGUAGAAAGUUGAAGAAGAAAACACUGUGUGAAGAAACACAUCCUACUCCAUUAGAAAUGAUGGAGUUGGAAAAGUCUCUCCCUGUCCAAAGGCCCUGUUUCACAGGCUGCUUUCCAAGGACUCGCUGACCUUGAUAACUCUGUAGUGCACAUACUGAAGAUAAUAAGCAGCUGGUUUUGCAUAUGUCACAAGUUUUUUGAAAUUUGUGUAUGGAUGACCCAGCUGAAGAAUACUAAUACUGAAUGAAGAUUGAGGACAGAAACUAAGAUGUGUCAGUGGAGCAUAACAAAUCCACAGGAAGGGCUUAGUUUUACCGAAAUGCAUUUGCUACUUUAUAUCUGUAGUAAUUCUAAGCAAAGUUACCUAAGAAAUUAAAUUGACACAAAUACAAUAGAUGCUCAUUAUGAAUCAGAAAAUUAUUCUGAGCUGA